rnacentral:rRNA from 1 species
CCUACGGGAGGCAGCAGUGGGGAAUAUUGCACAAUGGGGGAAACCCUGAUGCAGCGACGCCGCGUGAGUGAUGAAGUUUUUCGGUAUGUAAAGCUCUAUCAGCAGGGAAGAAAAUGACGGUACCUGAUUAAGAAGCACCGGCUAACUACGUGCCAGCAGCCGCGGUAAUACGUAGGGGGCAAGCGUUAUCCGGAUUUACUGGGUGUAAAGGGAGCGUAGACGGUGUGGCAAGUCAGGAGUGAAAGCCCGGGGCUCAACUCCGGGACUGCUUUUGAAACUGGGUGACUGGAGUGCAGGAGAGGUAAGCGGAAUUCCUGGUGUAGCGGUGAAAGGCGUAGAUAUCAGGAGGAACACCAGUGGCGAAGGCG